CUUUGAAAAGAGCAGGUCGCACCAGAUGUCCUCUCUGGCCUGGGCCCCGAGGGGGGAAACAGAGAAGACUAAGGUGUCAUUUUUCCACCUAGAGGGUCAGCCCUUGACAGAGAUGGAGCUGACCUCCGGCAGACACAGCCAGAAGUGAUGUGUGGUUUCCUGUCCCACUGGAUGGCCUGGACUGUAGAGGAGCUUCGGGGAUAACCUUGAGGAGGUGAUUUGAGCAUGCAGGUCGGCGUGGAAGAUGCCGCUCUGAUGGUGCCCGCGAGGGAAUUCUGAUGAAACCAGCCAGGUUUCCAAGCCAACACUCUCUCCGUGUGAAUCCAGAGUGAAGCGCUGAGCCUUCCCCAGCCUCCUGGACCAUCUGGACAGCGUCUGGGAAGUUAGCGCACCACGCGGGAGAGGCUUGCUGCUUCAAAUGGUGAAGGGAGAGCUAGGGGAUGUGGGAGAUCAUCUGGGAGGCCAGGCUUCUCGGGGGGACUGGGAUGUGCCCAGGGAGCGGGGGGUGGUCGCUGAGCUCUAGAAUUUUGUUUUCCUUUUGGUUAUCUUUACAACGUUCUUUUAUCUGUUCUAAAGGUAACCCUUCUCUGUAGUUAACUUUGUAACUUAAAGAAGUUUCUAUAGAACCA